GCCGACGUGGUGAAACUGGUAAACACGCUAUCUUGAGGGGUAGUGGCUAAAAGCUUUGCGAGUUCGAGUCUCGCCGUCGGCACCA
rnacentral:tRNA from 1 species